UUUUACUAAUCUGAAAGUUUGCUAUUGUAGAAUCACAAGUGAACAUGUGAUGUCACACUUUUCAUGAUUGCUGUGUAUACAACAAGAGCACUUUAGGCUCAGGGCAUUGUACAGAGCCUUAGAAUUGAGAGAUUGUGGACUCAGAGGAGAUAAAGUCCUUAACUGAGAAUGCUUAUUUGCUGAACAGAUGCAUUGAGCUACUUACAGAACAUAUGCGGGGUGAAGAUGGGGGCAGAGGCCAAGAAAAGUGUCUUAGUGCACAAAGUUGUGAAAGAGUCAUUUGCCUAUGAGGUCAGAAUGGAUGAAGCUCUGGAGUCAUGACUGCAGUCAAGAUGCCGUUCAUUGUUUCUUUCCUUUUUCUUCUUUCUACCCAACAGUACAUAACAUGUAGGAUUCGAAUCCUCCAAUAUUUGAAAGCUUUCACUGUCUACCCACUAUGUACAAUCCAGAGCUUUGGGAAUCUCGUUCUAUGCCAAGCCUUUAGUCUUCUGUUCUCCAAGAGCCUAAUUAUGGGGUCUAUUUCACUCUGCGUCCUUGGCUUUAUGUAUUCCCCACCAUCUCUGUCCUGUUCUCACACUUCCUCAAAUAUCACUCACUUCACUUCAACCUGGGCCUUCCUCUCCCAGAAUCAAGCAUGAUAUUCUCAGUAUUUAUAGUACAGCCUACUGCACUACUAAAAUAUUCCUUAUG
rnacentral:lncRNA from 10 species